AGCAUGCGCAGUGCGGCGGUUCGCCCUGUUGGUUUCCCCCGGCCCGUUGGUACCGGAUGUUGCUGGAGAGAUUGAAGCAGUGCAUCCCUUGAGAGUCGUCACAUUCAUGUCCCUGUACUACUGACAGAGUCAGAAGCCACAGAAAACACAGGAGUUCUGACCUCAUCUUGGGGGUCAGGAGGAUGUCUUAAAAGAAAUCUAAAGAUAACAUACAUAGGAGAUGCUCCACCCAGCGUGGGGAGGAGCCAGCUGUUCCCAGCUAGAUAAAAACUGGGGCUGAAGGACACAAGGUAUCCUGUUUUCCCACUGGAACCCCAGAGGAAGACUGGACCUGUCUCGCCGCCACUGGACUUUCUGCAGGACCAUCUCUACUCCACAGAACUACAUCUAUUACUCCAGGAGGAUUUAUUUGGACUGCUUCCAACACCCUGACCACCAGGGUGCCAGGUCGUAUCCCUGACUCCAUCAGGGUUUUUCCAGGAUUUUUGUUUGCUACCUUGCUUGGUUUUUUGUACUACUACGUUUGUGGGGUGUUUGGUUUUGGUGGGGUUUUUUUGUUUUGGUUUGGUUUUUGUUUUGUUUUGGUUUUGUUGGUUUGGAUUGGUUUGGUUUUUUUAAUAUUCCUAGUAAAGAACUGUUACUCCCAUUCCCAUAUCUUUGCCUGAAAGCCCCUAAUUGCAAAAUAAUAAUAAUUUGGAGGGAAGGGGGUUUACAUUCUCCAUUCCAGGGGAAACUAGCUUUCCCUGGCAGACAACUGUCUUUCAGAACCAUGACAGUAAUUAACUCAGAGAAUGGUGUAAAAUAAUGAUCUUGUUUCUCACAUCUGUGGACUGGCCUCUCCAAGUGAUAAGAUAACAGAGACAAAACCUAGAGUCCCGGAGAAGAAUUUACUGACUCCUCGUUAUCGAGGAGUGUGAAACGACAGGAUAGAACCACAAGAAGAAAAAUAAUAUAUUGACCUAAUCUACAGGAUGUCAUGCAGACAAGUCAAAAGUUAAAACUGAACAAAAGGGUUCCUAGAACAUCAAACACUCACAAGAAUGUUCAAAUAGUGUAUAAACUCAUGAAUAUGCAUGUAUCCCCAGUAAUGUAAGAGCAUAUAGAGAACAUUAUUUUAAGCUAACGGUGUGUUAUUUGGCCAAUUGCAAAAAAUGCCCCAUCACUGGAUAUUGUCCCUUUUUGUCCCCUAUUAAACUUUUAAAAAUUUUAAAGA